ACCUGACUCCAUUCCGAACUCAGAAGUGAAACGAAAUAGCGCCGAUGGUAGUGUGGGGUUUCCCCAUGUGAGAGUAGGACAUCGCCAGGC
rnacentral:rRNA from 2 species